UUCCCGGGCAACGUUUUUCGUCCCGGGGUUAGUCGGGACCUAACCCGAGGCCGAUAGGCGUAGGGGAUGGUAAGCCGGUCAAUAUUCCGGCACCUGCAAAGUGGAUGGGGACGCUUUUUGAAUUGCAACCAGGUUAUUGAAUUCUGAGGGGAAGCUUCGGCUGAACCGUAUUGCAUGAAGAAGAGCCAAGAAAAGCCACCACGACUAAAAGCAGCCCGUACCGUAAACCGACACAGGUGGGUGGGUAGAGUAUACCAAGGCGCAAGAGUGAAACCUGGUCAAGGAACUCGGCAAAAUAGCCCCGUAACUUCGGGAGAAGGGGUGCCCCACUUCGGUGGGGCCGCAGUGAAAUGGGUCAACCGACUGUUUAGCAAAAACACAGCAUUGUGCUAAGACGCAAGUCGAUGUAUACGAUGUGACACGUGACCAAUGCCAAAAGAUUACGAUGAGAUGUUAGCUCUUUAGAGCGAAGCUUCGAGUCCAAGUCCUGGUGAAUGUCGGCCGUAACUAUAACGGUCCUAAGGUAGCGAAAUUCCUUGUCGGGUAAGUUCCGACCUGCACGAAUCGUGCAACGAGUUGACCACUGUCUCGACCAGGAGCUCAGUGAAAUUGUAGUGCCGGUGAAGAUGCCGGCUACCCGCAGAAGGACGGAAAGACCCUAUAGACCUUAACUGUAAGCUGUUACUGGUUAUUUGAUUUUAAUGCUCAGCAUAAGUGGGAGACUUUGAAGGAUACGUUUAGGCGUAUCUGGAGUCGCCAGUGAGAUACCACCCUUUGACAUUGGAUAAUCUAACCCCGAGCCGUAAUCCGGCCGUGGGGACCGUGGCAGCCGGUCAGUUUUACUGGGGCGGUAUCCUCCUAAAGAGUAACGGAGGAGCGCGAAGUUUGGUUCAGCACGGUCGGUAACCGUGUGUCGAGUGUAAAGGCACAAACCAGACUAACUGUGAGACCCACAAGUCGAGCAGAUACGAAAGUAGGCCUUAGUGAUCCGGCGGUAGAAAGUGGAAUUGCCGUCGCUCAACGGAUAAAAGGUACCUUAGGGAUAACAGGCUGAUCGCGCCCAAGAGUUCAUAUCGACGGCGCGGUUUGGCACCUCGAUGUCGGCUCGUCGCAUCCUGGGGCUGGAGCAGGUCCCAAGGGUUGGGCUGUUCGCCCAUUAAAGCGGCACGCGAGCUGGGUUCAGAACGUCGCGAGACAGUUCGGUCCUCUAUCCUCUGUGGGCGUAGGAAAAUUGAGAGGUUCAAACCCUAGUACGAGAGGACCGGGUUUGACGCACCUCUGGUGCUCCGGUUGUUCUGUCAAGAGCAUGGCCGGGUAGCUAAGUGCGGCACCGAUAAGCGCUGAAAGCAUCUAAGCGCCAAGCGGUUCUCAAGACCAGUUUUCCCUGAAAGACCGUGGAAGACCACCACGUUGAUAGGCUGGGGGUAGAAGUGCAGUAAUGCAUGUAGCUCACCAGUACUAAUCGUCUGUUUGGCUUGAUU
rnacentral:rRNA from 1 species